GCCUAUGCCGGCCUACUACCUAAACACAUGCAAGUCGAGCGGUAGCACAGAGAGCUUGCUCUCGGGUGACGASCGGCGGACGGGUGAGUAAUGUCUGGGAAACUGCCUGAUGRAGGGGGAUAACUACUGGAAACGGUAGCUAAUACCGCAUAACGUCGCAAGACCAAAGUGGGGGACCUUCGGGCCUCAUGCCAUCAGAUGUGCCCAGAUGGGAUUAGCUAGUAGGUGGGGUAACGGCUCACCUAGGCGACGAUCCCUAGCUGGUCUGAGAGGAUGACCAGCCACACUGGAACUGAGACACGGUCCAGACUCCUACGGGAGGCAGCAGUGGGGAAUAUUGCACAAUGGGCGCAAGCCUGAUGCAGCCAUGCCGCGUGUGUGAAGAAGGCCUUCGGGUUGUAAAGCACUUUCAGCGGGGAGGAAGGCGAUAAGGUUAAUAACCUUGUCGAUUGACGUUACCCGCAGAAGAAGCACCGGCUAACUCCGUGCCAGCAGCCGCGGUAAUACGGAGGGUGCAAGCGUUAAUCGGAAUUACUGGGCGUAAAGCGCACGCAGGCGGUCUGUCAAGUCGGAUGUGAAAUCCCCGGGCUCAACCUGGGAACUGCAUUCGAAACUGGCAGGCUAGAGUCUUGUAGAGGGGGGUAGAAUUC
rnacentral:rRNA from 1 species